AGCAGGCUCCACCGGGCGAACGAGGUCAGCCCGGAGAUGCUUGGGCAUAUCAAAAUGCUUCAUGUGCGUAUAUGUGACUAUUUGCUUAUGAUGAACUUGAAGACAGUCGUUAAGGUAUUCAUGGUGGAGGGAAAGGUUGAUGCUGGUCUUGGUCCUAUUUAUGCAACCUGCGUGGAAUUCAAG